rnacentral:rRNA from 1 species
UACGUAGGGUGCAAGCGUUGCUCGGAAUUACUGGGCGUAAAGCGCACGUAGGCGGUCUUUUAAGUCGGGGGUGAAAUCCUGGAGCUCGACUCCAGAACUGCCUUCGAUACUGGAAGACUUGAGUCCGGGAGAGGUGAGUGGAACUGCGAGUGUAGAGGUGAAAUUCGUAGAUAUUCGCAAGAACACCAGUGGCGAAGGCGGCUCACUGGCCCGGUACUGACGCUGAGGUGCGAAAGCGUGGGGAGCAAACAGG